GCUCCAAGUCACGAACAUGCGCAACCACUUCCUGGUGACAAAAAAGAAGAUGAUUAUCUUUUGGAAGUAUGCAAUCUUUGCCAUGCUGCAGGAAGAUGAGGGACUCAGGGACCUCAUAUGUGUGUUGUUCCAUCCAAGGAGUUUCUUCUAUGGCUAAUCUUUCUUUGCACCCCUACUUGAAAAACAUCUUUAAACUUUUUAACUAGAGGUGUGGAAAAGAUUAGGCCAGUUCAAGGAAUGCUUCGGAGGUUUCGUACUUUAUUCAACUUACGAAGUGCGAUUCGUGGAAAUAAUAGUAAGGGACAGUAUGACCUAGCAGUCAAGAUAGUACACGAAAGCGAAAUCAAUUGUCCUCCUUUCUCAUUUUCGUAUAUUGAAAUGUGGUCUUGAGGAGAUUGACAAAGUUAUGCAAGAGUUUAAAGGCAUGCUUUCUUGGUCUACUGAAGAUCCCCAAGACGCAUCAAGGUGUGUGUUUUCAUUCGGUAGGUUUAAAAGACUAUGAGUAGCAUCUAUUCGGCAGACAAGCUCUAAAGAUUGACUAGCAUCUGUGUUGGGUUGAAAAGUCAACACUUUUUAUAAAUAUAUUUAAUUUUGUAAAUAGUUAUUUUGCUGAAUUAGUUACAUAACUAUUGCUGUAUCAUGAUCACCUUUUUCGAAUAAAAUAACUUAAGAGGUUG